UGGACUGGUAUCCUCAGAAGGUCAAGUGGGGUGGACUGGUAUCCUCAGAAGGUCAAGUGGGGUGGACUGGUACCUUCAGAUGGUCACUGGGUUGGACCAGUACCUUCAGAUGAUCAAAUGGGGUGGACUGGUACCCUCAGGGGGUCAAGUGGGAUGGACUGGUACCAUUAGAAGGUCAGGUGGGGUGGACUGAUACCCUCAGAGGGUCAAGUGGGACGGACUGGUACCAUUAGAAGGUCAAGUGGGGUGGACUGGUACCAUCAGAAGAUCAAGUGGGGUGGACUGGUAUCCUCAGAAGGUCAAGAGGAGUGGACUGGUACCUUCAGAUGGUCAAUGGGGUGGACCAGUACUUUCAGAUGAUCAAAUGGGGUGGACUGGUACCCUCAGAGGGUCAAGUGGGAUGGACUGGUACCAUUAGAAGGUUAGGUGGGGUGGACUGAUACCCUCAGAGGGUCAAGUGGGACGGACUGGUACCCUCAGAGGGUCAAGUGGGGUGGACUGGUACCCUCAGGAGGUCAAGUAGGGUGGACUGGUACCCUCAGAAGGUUAAGUGGGGUGGACUGGUACUGUUAGAAGGUCAAGUGGGGUGGACUGAUACCCUCCGAGGGUCAAGUGGGGUGGACUGAUAUCCUCCGAGGGUCAAGUGGGGUGGACCAGUACCUUCAGAUGGUGAAGUAUUCAUCUUGUGAAAGGUUGAGGUGUAGCUCCAUCAAGACAUGUGCUGUGUUUCAGAAAACAUAGAGGCAGUUUACAAAUAGACAUAAAGACAGAAUGACUCUUUGUCAAAAAAAAACGAAGCCAGUGUCACAAAAGCCACCAAGUGUAGGCCAGCAGACCACUUCAAC